UACACUAACUGCAGGUUACAGCUGUGUUUAAACAGUAUUUAUAAUGAUGCAUCGGUCGGUGAGUGCAGGUAUUUUUCCAAAGAGCCAGUGGUUCCACCUCUGGGCGGAGUCACCGCAAUCCAGCGUGCAGUCCACACCUGUUGGCAGUCAUGCUGUCGUAAUCCACCUGGUCACCUCGCUGAUCAUUACUCACCUUCAUUAGGAUGCUGGUCUUCUUGGCAGCUUCUUGGUCACUCCUUAUGCUCACUUCACUCACCUUCCUCGAUCUCCUCCGUCUAGAUUUAUCUCUGCUCACCUGGAUCACUUACCCUCUCCACGCCAUCAAUCCACCUGCAACAAUGCCUCCAUCUGUGUCUGUGAGUCCGUCUCCUGGUUUGGCCUCCAGCUGUGACGCCAUCUUCUUUCAGUGCUGACACACUAACCACAAGGAAGAAAGCCGACAUGUUCUCGUCAGUGUCCUCAGAUUCAGUCUGACUGCAUCCAACAACAGGAAGCUUCUGCUGUGGUUUCACUGAACUCAGUUUGCAGAAGUUAAAAGAAGUAAAAGAUUUUAAAAUGUUUCACUGCGUUAUUGGACAGUUCAGGAGGCUGAGAACACUUUGUUUUGUUCAGCCUUCUUCUUCUUUAUAUAACUCAUAUUAACAACUAACUCAUCCUUUUAAUAACUUAUGUGUGAGCUGAAGUUGUGCGACCUCUGAAGAACACACAGAAGGAUAAAAAGCACGUGAACAUCCUCA